rnacentral:rRNA from 1 species
AUUGAACGCUGGCGGCAGGCCUAACACAUGCAAGUCGAGCGGUAGAGAGGUGCUUGCAUCUCUUGAGAGCGGCGGACGGGUGAGUAAUGCCUAGGAAUCUGCCUAGUGGUGGGGGAUAACGUUCGGAAACGGACGCUAAUACCGCAUACGUCCUACGGGAGAAAGCGGGGGAUCUUCGGACCUCGCGCCAUUAGAUGAGCCUAGGUCGGAUUAGCUAGUUGGUGAGGUAAUGGCUCACCAAGGCGACGAUCCGUAACUGGUCUGAGAGGAUGAUCAGUCACACUGGAACUGAGACACGGUCCAGACUCCUACGGGAGGCAGCAGUGGGGAAUCUUAGACAAUGGCGCAAGCCUGAUCUAGCCAUGCCGCGUGAUCGAUGAAGGCCUUAGGGUUGUAAAGAUCUUUCAGUUGGGGAAGAGUAAUGACUGUACCACAGAAGAAGCCCGGCUAACUACCGUGCCAGCAGCCGC